UACAGAGGAGCCAAGCGUUGUCCGGAUUUACUGGGCGUAAAGCGCACGCAGGCGGCCCGGCGCGUGGGGUGUGAAAGCUGGCGGCUUAACUGCCAGACGCCAUCCCAUACGGCUGGGCUCGAGCCCUGCAGAGGUCCAUGGAAUUGCCGGUGUAGUGGUGAAAUGCGUAGAGAUCGGCAGGAACACCCAGGGGGAAACCAGUGGACUGGGCAGGAGCUGACGCUCAGGUGCGAAAGCGUGGGGAGCGAACCGG
rnacentral:rRNA from 1 species